rnacentral:ncRNA from 1 species
CUACCUCAUCACGGGAGCCCGGCGCACCGGGCUGAGAGGCGGGCUGUGGCGGCCCGCGACCGUCCGAACCUGAUCCGGGUCAUGCCGGCGAAGGGAGAAGAAGUGCCGUGGCA